AAUCCAUAGGUUAAUGAGGCGAACCGGGGGAACUGAAACAUCUAAGUACCCCGAGGAAAAGAAAUCAACCGAGAUUCCCCCAGUAGCGGCGAGCGAACGGGGAGGAGCCCAGAGCCUGAAUCAGCAUGUGUGUUAGUGGAAGCGUCUGGAAAGGCGCGCGAUACAGGGUGACAGCCCCGUACACAAAAGCGCAUGUGCUGUGAGCUCGAUGAGUAGGGCGGGACACGUGGUAUCCUGUCUGAAUAUGGGGGGACCAUCCUCCAAGGCUAAAUACUCCUGACUGACCGAUAGUGAACCAGUACCGUGAGGGAAAGGCGAAAAGAACCCCGGCGAGGGGAGUGAAAAAGAACCUGAAACCGUGUACGUACAAGCAGUGGGAGCACCCUUCGGGGUGUGACUGCGUACCUUUUGUAUAAUGGGUCAGCGACUUAUAUUCUGUAGCAA
rnacentral:rRNA from 1 species